AGUCCCUUCUGUUGUCUGUCAGCCCUUCUACUUCAGAGAUGGUGACAGAUAUUGAAAAUCAAAUCGAUAAGCAGCUUCAAGACAGACUGAAUCAGGAGGAGGUGGCUACAGCUCCUCUGGCCAAGGAGCUGGAAUCAGAUACUCCGUCCUUUGCUCUUGGUGCCGAGGAUCCUGAAGUGACCGAAGUCCUUGCGCUGUGGACAUGCUCUUCAAGGAUAGAAGAAAGGCUGAAGUUAUAAUUGGGCGAAUCGUAAAGCCAAGUUGCCUUUACCCUCAGAGUUGUUCUGUUCUCUCCCAGGGACAAAUACCCAAAUUUCUGGGUAAUCUAGAGGAAAGGCCCGGCCGUCCUACUCUGGGAAGUCCUUCCUAACGUCUAUCCUGCAUUUCUUUCUGUUCCAAUAGAUUUCCCCACCUCG